rnacentral:lncRNA from 1 species
UGGAUGGAUUUCGAAUGAGCUUUCGCAACGGAUGGACUCCGGCAGCUGGAUUCUUACAAUGAUCGAUCACCUCCGAUGUCUGCCGAACCUCCCCAGUGCCAUCCGAAGUCCAUCGCCGGUCGACCCUGCGCCAGAUCCUUCAUGAAAUCAAACUUCUCUGGCGGAUCAUCUUCGAACGAGCUUCCACAUCAGGAGAAUCCCAGACAGACUUCUCUAGCAAUCAGAUUCUUAUCGGGCUUCACCAACGGAAAGUCUCCAUUCGAGCUUCUACAGCAGAUGACUCCCACC